rnacentral:rRNA from 1 species
CCCUUAGAUGUCCUGGGCCGCACGCGCGCUACACUGAGUGUCUGAGAUACGAGUCUGCCUGGUCCGGCAAGGUCUAGGUAAUCGCUAAAAGACACAUCAUGCUUGGGAUAGAUUAUUGCAAAUAUUAAUCUUGAACGAGGAAUUCCUAGUAAGCGCAAGUCAACAGCUUGCGUUGAUUACGUCCCUGCCCUUUGUACACACCGCCCGUCGCUACUACUGAUUGGAUGUUUAAGCGAGGUUCUCGAACUGCUAGCGACUUAGCUUCGGUGAGGUCGCAGUGUGGGAAGUGAACCGAGCUUUGGAGUCUAGAGGAAGUAAAAGUCGUAACA